rnacentral:rRNA from 1 species
AUUGAACGCUGGCGGCAUGCCUUACACAUGCAAGUCGAACGGCAGCACGGGGCAACCUGGUGGCGAGUGGCGAACGGGUGAGUAAUGCAUCGGAACGUACCUUUCAGUGGGGGAUAACGUAGCGAAAGUUACGCUAAUACCGCAUAUUCUGUGAGCAGGAAAGCAGGGGAUCGCAAGACCUUGCGCUGAUUGAGCGGCCGAUGUCGGAUUAGCUAGUUGGUGAGGUAAAGGCUCACCAAGGCGACGAUCUGUAGCGGGUCUGAGAGGAUGAUCCGCCACCCUGGAACUGAGACACGGUCCAGACUCCUACGGGAGGCAGCAGUGGGGAAUUUUGGACAAUGGGGGCAACCCUGAUCCAGCCAUGCCGCGUGAGUGAAGAAGGCCUUCGGGUUGUAAAGCUCUUUCGGCCGGGAAGAAAUCGCACGGGCUAAUACCCUGUGUGGAUGACGGUACCGGAAUAAGAAGCACCGGCUAACUACGUGCCAGCCGCCGCCGUAAGAC